rnacentral:rRNA from 1 species
UACGUAGGGGGCAAGCGUUGUCCGGAAUCAUUGGGCGUAAAGCGCGUGUAGGCGGCUGGGUAAGUCUGCUCUGAAAGCCCGGGGCUCAACCCCGGGAGGCGGGUGGAUACUGCUCAGCUCGAGUCCGGAAGAGGAGUGUGGAAUUCCUGGUGUAGCGGUGAAAUGCGCAGAUAUCAGGAGGAACACCAAUGGCGAAGGCAGCACUCUGGGACGGUACUGACGCUGAGACGCGAAAGCGUGGGGAGCAAACAGG